GCAGAGUCAGAAUUCAGUUUUUCCUUUGUGAUCUAGUAUGAAAAUUUAAUCCUUUUUGAACACAAAUCAAAUCCUCUUGUAUUUAUUGAUCUUGUUAUAUUUGGAUGCAAUUCUUUCAAGGUAUUUUAUGAUAUGUUUUCUGUUUUCUAUGUAAGCAUAGUUAUUAACAAUGAUUGAAAUUUUUAAUAAAAUCCUGUGGUAAAAUUAUAUGGUAAAGUAUAAACACAUUUAUUAUUAAAGUAUAUUUACUUUGAAUUAUGUAUAAAUAAUCAGGAGCUUUCUAGAAACUUCUCAGGGCAGUACUAGGCCAUUGGAAGUAGCCAAUGGGAACAAUCAGGCUUACUUAGGAAGUGGUUAUAGAUAAGAAAGAAGAAAUAAAUAUGUGCAGAUGUAUAGAUGUGUGUAUAUCUACACAUAUAUAGAGACAGCAUUUAAACUGUUAACUAAACUUAAUAUUUUUUCCAGUC